AUAUCUUUAGCUCGUAGUCUUUCUCUGAAAAUUAAAUAAUAUCAUAAUGAACUGGGUAAAAUAUUUCUAUAAAUUAAAAAAAAAAAUGUCUUGCUUAUUGUGUUUCUAAAUGACAAAUAGUUAACAAAAAUAGUGGCAAUUGUAAAAGCAUUGACUAAAUCAACCAUUCAUGAGUAUUUCUUAAUUAGGUUUGGAUGAAUUUUUUUAUAUUUGAGAGCCUGAUUGUGUGAUUCACUUUUAACACCUUGUGUUUUAUUUCCAAUCUGAUAUUUUGUUUCAGUUACCAAGAAGGAAGAACUUUCUGUUACCAAAAUGUGUUUUAUUGUGUUUAAUUUGCUAUUUGAUAUUUUGUUUCUGUUACCAAGAAUGAAGAACUUUCUGUUACCAAUUUUUGUAUAUACUGUGUUUAUUAAAAAUGUUAUUAAGAAAAG